rnacentral:rRNA from 1 species
CCUANGGGGGGCAGCAGUUUCGAAUCAUUCACAAUGGGCGAAAGCCUGAUGGUGCGACGCCGCGUGAGGGAUGAAGGCCUUCGGGUUGUAAACCUCUGUCACCGGGGAAGAAACGCUUCACGUUAAUAGCGUGAAGCCUGACUUAACCCGGAGAGGAAGCAGUGGCUAACUCUGUGCCAGCAGCCGCGGUAAUACAGAGACUGCAAGCGUUAUUCGGAUUCACUGGGCGUAAAGGGUGCGCAGGCGGUCGAUCAAGUCGAGUGUGAAAGCCCCCGGCUCAACUGGGGAGGGUCAUUCGAUACUGAUCGACUCGAAGGCAGGAGAGGGUAGUGGAAUUCCCGGUGUAGUGGUGAAAUGCGUAGAUAUCGGGAGGAACACCAGUGGCGAAGGCGACUACCUGGCCUGUUCUUGACGCUGAGGCGCGAAAGCUAGGGGAGCAAACGGGAUUAGAUACCCCANUANUC